CCAUGAGUAAAGUGGCGCACGGGUGAGUAACACGUGACUAACCUACCCUUGAGUGGGGGAUAACCUCGGGAAACCGGGGCUAAUACCGCAUAAUAUCGAGAGAUCAAAGGAGCAAUUCGCUUAAGGAGGGGGUCGCGGCUGAUUAGCUAGUUGGUGAGGUAAUGGCUCACCAAGGCUAUGAUCAGUAUCCGGCCCGAGAGGGCGCACGGACACACUGGAACUGAAACACGGUCCAG
rnacentral:rRNA from 1 species